rnacentral:rRNA from 1 species
UACGUAGGGGGCGAGCGUUGUCCGGAUUUAUUGGGCGUAAAGAGCUCGUAGGCGGCUUGGCAAGUCGGGUGUGAAACCUCUAGGCUCAACCUGGAGACGCCACUCGAUACUGCUAUGGCUAGAGUCCGGUAGGGGACCACGGAAGUUCCUGGUGAGCGGUGAAAUGCGUAGAUAUCUGGAGGAACACCGGUGGCGAAGCGGCAGUCCUGGACCGGCAUUGACGCUGAGGAGCGAAAGCCAGGGGAGCAAAGCGGG